GAGGGGCUCGCGGCCUAUCAGCUAGUUGGUGAGGUAACGGCUCACCAAGGCUAUGACGGGUAGCUGGUCUGAGAGGACGACCAGCCACACGGGAACUGAGACACGGUCCCGACUCCUACGGGAGGCAGCAGUGGGGAAUUUUCCGCAAUGGGCGAAAGCCUGACGGAGUGACGCCGCGUGGGGGACGAAGGCCUUCGGGUCGUAAACCCCUGUCAGAGGGAAAGAAGGGUGCUGGCGUGAACAGCGCCGGCAUCUGACGGUACCUUCAGAGGAAGCCCCGGCCAACUCUGUGCCAGCAGCCGCGGUAAGACAGAGGGGGCAAGCGUUGCUCGGAAUCACUGGGCGUAAAGGGCGCGUAGGCGGGAUGGCAAGUCGGUCGUGAAAUCCUUCGGCUCAACCGAAGAACGUCGGCCGAUACUGCCGUUCUUGAGGGAUGCAGAGGAGAUUGGAAUUCCCGGUGUAGCGGUGAAAUGUGUAGAGAUCGGGAGG
rnacentral:rRNA from 1 species